rnacentral:rRNA from 1 species
UACGGAGGGGGCUAGCGUUGUUCGGAAUUACUGGGCGUAAAGCGCACGUAGGCGGCGAUUUAAGUCAGAGGUGAAAGCCCGGGGCUCAACCCCGGAAUAGCCUUUGAGACUGGAUUGCUAGAAUCUUGGAGAGGCGGGUGGAAUUCCGAGUGUAGAGGUGAAAUUCGUAGAUAUUCGGAAGAACACCAGUGGCGAAGGCGGCCCGCUGGACGAAGUAUUGACGCUGGAGGUGACGAAAGCGUGGGGAGCAAACAGG